UUUCUCACAUCCCAGGUGAGUGCUCUAAUAACAGCUUUGGCUCUCCCAGGGUGGGUCUUUUGAAGUUCCAUCUUCAGGUUAUUCUAAUUUAAGUAAUUGUUUAAUGAGUCAGGAGAAGACUGAUUCUUAGCUUGAACAUUCAAGUGUGAUGUGAGAGGCUGGGUCUGGCUUUGUUUGGUUGCAGAUUCUUCUUCCUCACGUUGCUGAGUACGAUAUGUUACGACCUUCAGUACCUUUCCUGUGUCUUUUAAGGAUUUCCUCAGCCAGGGAACACAUUCGUUGUUUUAAGAGUAACUGAUAGUGCCACA
rnacentral:lncRNA from 1 species